rnacentral:rRNA from 1 species
AUUGAACGCUGGCGGCAGGCUUAACACAUGCAAGUCGAACGAGUGGCGGACGGGUGAGUAAUGCUUGGGCAUCGGGCUUAUGGAGGGGGAUAAGGAAGGGAAACUGUCGCUAAUACCGCGUACCAUAGGAUGAGCCCAAGUGGGAUUAGGGAGGUGGUGGGGUAAUGGCCUACCAAGCCGACGAUCUCUAGCUGGUCUGAGAGGAUGGCCCGGCACCCCGGGACUGGUACACGUCCCGGACUUCUACGGGAGGCAGCAAGGGGGAAUCUUCCGCAAAUGACGAAAGUCUGACGAAGCAACGCCCCGUUAGUGAUGACGGCCUUCGGGUUUUAAAGCUCUGUUAAUCGGGAGACGGUACCGGAAUAGAAAGCCACGGCUAACUACGUGCCAGCAGCCGCGGUAAUAC